rnacentral:tRNA from 1 species
AGGGUAAUAGCUCUGUGGCGGAGCACAUACUUAGCAUGCAUGAGGUCCUGGGUUCAAUCCCCAGUAACUCCA